rnacentral:tRNA from 1 species
GUCGGCGUGGCGGAAUUGGCAGACGCGCCAGAUUUAGGAUCUGGUGCCCUAACGGGCUUGGGAGUUCGAGUCUCCCCGCCGACACCA